rnacentral:rRNA from 1 species
GCUGGCGGCAGGCUUAACACAUGCAAGUCGAGCGGUAGCAGAUCUAGCUUGCUAGAUGCUGACGAGCGGCGGACGGGUGAGUAACGCGUAGGAACCUGCCCAGUAGCGGGGGAUAGCCCGGGGAAACUCGGAUUAAUACCGCAUACGCUCUACGGAGGAAAGAGGGGCUUCGGCUCUCGCUAUUGGAUGGGCCUGCGUGAGAUUAGCUAGUUGGUGAGGUAAUGGCUCACCAAGGCGACGAUCUCUAGCUGGUCUGAGAGGAUGAUCAGCCACACUGGGACUGAGACACGGCCCAGACUCCUACGGGAGGCAGCAGUGGGGAAUAUUGCACAAUGGGCGCAAGCCUUAUGCAGCCAUGCCGCGUGUGUGAAGAAGGCUUUCGGGUUGUAAAGCACUUUCAGUGGGGAGGAAGGCCUCGUAGUUAAUAGCUGCGAGGAUUGACGUUACCCACAGAAGAAGCACCGGCUAACUCCGUG